UACGUAGGGUGCAAGCGUUGUCCGGAAUUAUUGGGCGUAAAGAGCUCGUAGGCGGUUUGUCGCGUCGGCUGUGAAAACCUGGGGCUCAACCCCGGGCCUGCAGCCGAUACGGGCAAACUAGAAUUCGGUAGGGGAGACUGGAAUUCCUGGUGUAGCGGUGAGAUGCGCAGAUAUCAGGAGGAACACCUGUGGUGUAGACAGCUUUCUGGACCAUUGCUGACGCUGAGACACGAAAGCGUGGGUAGCAAACAGG
rnacentral:rRNA from 1 species